rnacentral:rRNA from 1 species
UGGGGAAUUUUGGACAAUGGGCGCAAGCCUGAUCCAGCCAUGCCGCGUGCGGGAAGAAGGCCUUCGGGUUGUAAACCGCUUUUGUCAGGGAAGAAAUCUUCUGAGUUAAUACCUCGGGAGGAUGACGGUACCUGAAGAAUAAGCACCGGCUAACUACGUGCCAGCAGCCGCGGUAAUACGUAGGGUGCAAGCGUUAAUCGGAAUACUGGGCGUAAAGCGUGCGCAGGCGGUUUUGUAAGACAGAGGUGAAAUCCCCGGGCUCAACCUGGGAACUGCCUUUGUGACUGCAAGGCUUGAGUGCGGCAGAGGGGGGAUGGAAUUCCGCGUGUAGCAGUGAAAUGCGUAGAUAUGCGGAGGAACACCGAUGGCGAAGGCAAUCCCCUGGGCCUGCACUGACGCUCAUGCACGAAAGCGUGGGGAGCAAACAGGAUUAGAUACCCUGGUAGUCCACGCCCUAAACGAUGUCAACUGGUUGUUGGGAAGGUUCCUUCUCAGUAACGUAGCUAACGCGUGAAGUUGACCGCCUGGGGAGUACGGCCGCAAGGUUGAAAC